rnacentral:rRNA from 1 species
CCUACGGGAGGCAGCAGUGAGGGAUAUUGGACAAUGGAUGGAAAUCUGAUCCAGCCAUGCCGCGUGCAGGAAGACGGCCCUAUGGGUUGUAAACUGCUUUUAUACGGGAGCAAUAAGGUCUACGCGUAGACUGAUGAGAGUACCGUAUGAAUAAGCAUCGGCUAACUCCGUGCCAGCAGCCGCGGUAAUACGGAGGAUGCGAGCGUUAUCCGGAUUUAUUGGGUUUAAAGGGUGCGUAGGCGGCUUUGUAAGUCAGCGGUGAAAUUUUGCAGCUUAACUGUAACAGUGCCGUUGAUACUGU